CACAUAAAUGCAUUAAAAAACCUACAUAUUAGCAUUUGUGAAACAUUUCAACUUUAUUUCUCAAUAAAAUAAUGCACAGUGGCUCAUAAAGUACAGUCGCACAAAAAUAAUUAAAAUCUCAAGGAUUUUUUUUUUCUUUUUUUUCUGAGAUUUCGAUUUGUGUGUUCAACCAUCACUGCAUCCUUC